GUUCGACUUGGGCUGAAUUUUUAUGUGUCAACAAUUACCCCCCAAUAUGGCAGAAUUAAUAAUAAUUAUUGAAUUUUGCCAUAUUCACUUCACGUCUCCAGCAACGUUAGCGAUUCCCAAAGAAUUUCAAUCAUUGUUUCCCUCUAUAACUUGAAAAGGUGCGUCGCUUUGCGAACCCUUAUAAACUUCAAACACACCAUUUUGCUGCUACCAAAUCACGUUUCAUAUUUCUUGCGCAUUCUUCACGAUUCACGUAACUCUGAAAAGCUUCGUUCCUUCUUCAAUGGCUACUUCGUCAUCUCAAGCUAGCGACUCCUUUAAUUUUGAUGACUUCAGAGACUCCUGAGUCGUCCAUACGUAACCCCAAGUUUUCUCGCGCCCGCCGAUGUUGGACGUAAUGAGUUUUACUUGGGUCCUUUCUUCAACAAUGCGGAGGCAGUUGAACAGGCGGCGGUGGGUCAGCUGUUUCCUUGCACUCAUGGCCCUCCUUUUCUGAAUUCUUUGCCGCUGGGGCCACUUCGUGAAAGAGGUAUUCGCACUUGGCCCAAAUCUGACGUAGCUUUUCGUAGGUGGCAUGCUCGUCUUGUGGGUCAUGGUCCUACUAAGGCACUUUUUGAUAGCGCUAGGAUUUCUGAUUUGUUGGAAGUCUCUAUUCGCCCCCCUACUUUUGAUUCAGCGCUUUUUCCGAUUGCUCUGAGCUUUUGGUCCUCUGAAUAUAACACCUUUAUUUUUCCUCUUGGCCCCAUAUCUAUUACGUUAAGGGAUGUUGGGGCCCUAGUAAAUUUACCACCUUUGGGCGAUACCAUUUUCCCAGGCAUCUUAGUUUCUGGUGGCGCCCCUCAGUUCGGUAAAAACUAUACCGAUUCUUAUUCAAGCCUGCAGACACUCCACAAUCAUUCGAGUGCUGAGCCUACUCAUGCUGAGCGAGUGGCCUUCCUUUUAGUUUGGCUUUGUAAAUAUGUAUUAUGCGUGCCUAGUAUAAAGCCCUCUCUGAGUUAUCUACCUAUAGCGCACGAACUGGCGCGUGGUAGGCCUUUGAAUUUAUGUUCUUUGUUUUUGGCUGCUAUUUAUAGAGGCAUGGCCUCUCUUCAGGCUCAAUUGAAGAAUGGUGCAUCUCCUACUGGCAGUGGACCUCUUUGGUUCACUCAACUGUGGUUGAGAUCCUAUUUUCCAUCACUUGGUGCUCCAUCCAUUUCUCGUCCUUCUGCUAGCUGUUAUGGGCUAGCUAUGGAGCCCUUAACUCCUGUAAGUAUGUCCAGAAGAGACAUUUUUUCAUUCUUUUAUUCUUUAGAUUCAAUCUCUUCCUUCUUCCCUUUUCCUCCUUUUUUGACUCCGGACUAUGUACAUCCUCCUUCCACUCUAGAUAGCGCGAGCACCUCUCUGCUCAUUUGGAUUCAAUUCUUAACUGGGAGGGAGCUUUUCCACGAUAUCUUAACUGGGACCAACGCCAAAGCAGGGGUAGAAAUUUAUGCUCCCCAAUUUUUUGCCCGGCAACUUGGUUUCGGCCAAACUUGGCCUGUUCCUCUUUGCUAUUCGAAGAACUUAAACGACCGUUUUCAUACCAUUAAUAAGGUGGAAGCAGAGGCUAUAAACGCUCGCAACCUCCAUUUAUCGAGCCAUUUUUCACUAGCCCCUUUUAAUCCUUGUCAUGCUACUCACCCUCUUUUCGAACAACUUUGGCCAUCAGUGAAACGCAGAUUAUUUGCGACUGAGGCCAAUCGUGCCUUUCAUUCAUUAGACCAACCGAGUAUUUCUUCUCCUCCUCCUGUUUUGGUCACUCCUUUGUCUAUUCGGAACCCUUCUCCUUCUCGUCGUACUAAACAAUCUGCUCGUCCAUCUUCUUCCCUCCCUGCCAAGCCAACUAUGGCCAAGAGUGUUCCAAGCCGCAAACGGCCAGCUUCAGCAUUUCCAUCUUGUAUACAAUGAAGUUCAAUUUUUCUCGCCCUUCUUUGAAUUACGGGCAAUAUGAUUCCGUAUUCACAAGUAGACUUCCAAUCCAAGAUUUUAGAGUACCCUGAAGCCAUUUGGGCCAACUCAUUCGCCACGUCGUUAUAUAUCCUAUUGACGCAUUGAAG
rnacentral:lncRNA from 1 species